rnacentral:tRNA from 1 species
CGGGUGUAGUUUAGUGGUAAAACAUCAGCUUCCCAAGCUGAAUUUACGGGUUCGAUUCCCGUUAUCCG